rnacentral:lncRNA from 10 species
AUGGAUUUGAGCUAACUUAUAGCUUGGUUGCAUUUGUCUGUUAGUCGUUGUCUGGCUGUGGUUUUUGUACACUUCUAGGGAGUAUCACCCCAGGGAUUCCAACUAAGAGCCUAAGGUUUGUGAAAUCAAUUACAAAUAUUUCUCAAGUACUUUUGACUUACAUGCCUUAUGGAAGAAAAAAGUGCAAACUAUGAUUUUUAUUAUUUUAGAUCAAUGGAUUUUACACAUGAAUAUCUUUGCUAAAUUGAUAGAGUUCUAGCCACUGUGUUUUUGCAAAAAAAAAGUAUACAUAGAAAUGUACAUAAAUACAUUGUCUUAUCUAUAAUUUCAGGAGAUUCAUAGGUCUACAUAAGAACAUUCCCAGAUCAACCGUGAACUCAUAGUUAAAAGCCAGUUCUUUCUUCAGGGUAUUCAACCUAGUUGAGGAUGCAGGACACGUUUUUAAGCAAUUAACAACACUAAUAACAACAUGAAGAACGUUCAAACUGCCAGAUGAAAAGCAUAACCGGUAAUGACUGUAGUAGUAUAGAAGAAUGAAGAGUUAGAAAAAUCUUGGACAUUGAUGAAGCGUUGAUAGAGGAGAUAAGAUCCAAAUGACAAGUAAGAUGAAGAAAACUAGAGAAUGAAGAGGGCUUCUAUGUAAAAUCAACAGAUAGUGAAAAGGCAGAAAAGCAAAAUAAAUGCUGUUUAUUUUUGGCAAAGGUGAUAUCGAUGGGUUGAGUCAAUAUUUAUGUAUCCAAUAAUGUGAAAGUACUAAUUGUGUAGACAUAAGAGCAAUGAGAGAAAAUACUCAAUGUUCUCAGGACACUGCACUCAAAAUGAGGUCACAACUUUAGUUAAGUGAUGUCAAAAUUAAAUCUUAAAACUAUGAAAGAAAAGGAGAAGUAAAUAGAUGUUGGUAAGGUGAACAAGGAGGCAAAACUUUUCUGUCUAUGUGGAUUUAAAAUUUGUUUAAUGGAGACCAGGAUGCUACAGAGUUACUUUUAUAUCAAUUGUUAUGCUUAGAUUUUAUUUUAUGAAAAAUUAAGACAUAGGUAGAGAGAAAUAAACACCAUGGUGCUGACCUCAGAAGAGAAAGAAAUAGCUUUGAGUUAAGAUGCACUGAAUUCUUACAUGUUUAUUUGCAUUACACCAGAACAUCAUUCAGAAAAAGUUUGUAGUGACAUAAAAAUGCAUAUUACUAUGUUUGCUAGGAUUUUAAAAAACAACACCAAGGAAACAUAUAAAGAAACAGAAAAUUGAAAUGAAGAAAAAUAAGGUUAAAAUAUAUUUUGAUAGAGUUCAAAAUUUAAAUCAUAAAUUUCUACAGGUCAACAAAUCAUAAGAAGACAAUGUAGCUGUGGGUUCUCAAGAUGUCAAAGAAAUGUUAGUCAAAUAUUAGUCAAUUAAGACACAUUGUACCUAAAAUAUAAAAGUUUUAAACUAACCAUGACAAUUUUUGGAAUUAAAACUCAACAUAGUUCUUACAUGUCAUUUUGAACAAUAUGUUAUGACAUAUAGUGACUAUGAAACAAUAUUUUUUUGAAAUUGUUUAUAUCUCCUUUUUUAAUGGCAAACUAUAGUAAAAAGUCUAUGAGAGGUUAAAAUUAUGAAAGAACACAUUGAUGUAGAAUUUAAGGUACAAAUUUACAAAUCUAUCACUGUUAUAAAAUAUGAGUUGAUAUUUUUAUAUACAAGGUAUUUUAACUGUGCUUUAAUAAUUAUAAUAGCAAAUGUAUGCUUAAUGGUAUAAGUUAUUUUAAAAUAUAUAAUUGUAUUGCACUGUUAACAAAUACAUAUCUAAAUGACAAGGUGCAUAUCAAUGGAAUGUUUGAAUUAUUUAAAAUUUUCAUUUCCUUAUUGAUUUGUGUGUUCUUUGUUGAUAGUGGACAUACUAUGUUGCCAAUUAUUAGAUUAACAAUACUGAAAUCUGUGAAACGUAUUUCACAUGUACUUUAUUAUUAUAGGCACAAUAAAAUGGUGUCAAAACAAGAGUUAAGAGAGCAUCCAGCAGCUUAAGGGCAAGAACAUCCUACGAUCUCAUUAUAUUUUCUGCAUAAGGAUGCUUGCUUGGGGGACCACUGGAUAUACACAUGGCUUCUACUCUCCUUUUAUUAUAGUCAUAAAGAGCAACUGAAGCUCAUAAAAAGUAGCUGGCAGAUUUGUAAAAGAUAUAACAGUUUGUUCACAGAGUUUCUAUAGAGCCACCAUCUAAGGAAAAUUUCCCUUCCAAAGCAUUGCUAGGAGCUAUUUAUCUUAGAAUUGCCUACUUUGUCACAGUAAACUGAGUAUUCCUCCUGUCAUCUAGUUUGCAAAACAAGGACUAGUUCUCUUUGACUUUUUCCUCAAUAACAGUAAACAGUAUAUACAUGAAGUAUGAGAAUUCAAUACUUAUAGAGUUAUAACUGUCCUGAGGUGAAGGUCAAUGUGUGUGUUUGUUUGCAAGAUAGUUUAUGUUGUAAAUUUAUUAAUUAAUUUGCACCUAUUUUAUAGCCGUUCUGGACAUACACAUGGGCAGAAGAUGUAGCCGCCUUGUGUGAAAAUUUGAGAGCUCUCUACUCCAUCUUCCGCUAGUAUAACCCUCAUUGGCUGGAAUCAUAAUGGUAUCUGCAUCUGGAACUGGCCACUAGUAUAACACCUACAAAAUGCACAACGGCCUUCAGACCAUAUGAAAAGUCUACAGGGUGAGAAUCUGAAAAUCCAGCAAUGAGGAGAAAAAAGUUAUCUCCCAUUAAGAACACUUUCCAGAAGCUACACAAUUCCAGUUAUUGAUUCAUCCCAUUUACUAGAACCUGUUCAUCUGGCUAUGCCCAAAACCAAGGGAAACUGAAAUAGUGGUUACCAUAUUCUGUAACUCAGCCUAGCCUAGCUUCAGAAGUUUUAAUAAAGAAAAUAAAAUGUAUUGAAAUAUUUUUAUAAUAUCUAUUCAUUUCAAAAUACAUUUUUUGUUUCAGCUCAAUCUUCCAUUUUAAUAUUCUAUCACACUCCUUCAUAUAAGUUCAGAUGUAUUUUAACUUCUUUCUGAGGGACAUUGUUUCCUAUAAUCAAAGCAGUUCAACUAUCUGCUAAGUCAGUGCUUUCCUAUUAUAAGCUAUUUUGAUUACAAUCAACCUGUGCAGAACAAUAGGAUGCUUUAGCAAUGACUAAACACCAAUGAAUACUUCCUUAGCUUUACAUAAUGAGCAAAGGAAGUAUGGCCCCAUAGUCUCAUCUCAGUUUCCUUAAGUCACUAUCAAUUCAGGUGUAAAAUACAGAAAACACUUACAUUGAAAUUUUUGAUUCCUCCAAAUGGAAGAUAAAUUAUACAGCAUUGUUGAGUUGUAAUCUCCAAAACCAAAAUUUCUGUGUUUUCCACAUAAGCAACCCAAACUGAGAGUUGCAUAACAGCCCAAGAACUAAACAUUGACACCAGCCUCAAAAACAGACCAUUGAUUAUCACAACAAAAACUUCAAAAUGCACCGGGGCCUCGUGGGCACAGGAGGUCUUUCAGGGAGUGAGCAUCAUUGUGAUAGGAUGGAAAUGCUAAGAUGUUUCUCUAUUCUAUUAAUAUAUUCUGUAUUCUAGCAAUAUAGAAUAUAAUACGUAGAAUAUAGUAUAUAUAAUUAG